CAGCCGCCACGGUAAUACGAAGGGGGCUAGCGUUGUUCGGAUUUACUGGGCGUAAAGCGCACGUAGGCGGAUCGAUCAGUCAGGGGUGAAAUCCCAGAGCUCAACUCUGGAACUGCCUUUGAUACUGUCGAUCUGGAGUAUGGAAGAGGUGAGUGGAAUUCCGAGUGUAGAGGUGAAAUUCGUAGAUAUUAGGAAGAACACCAGUGGCGAAGGCGGCUCACUGGUCCGGUACUGACGCUGAGGUGCGAAAGCGUGGGGAGCAAACAGGAUUAGAUACCCCCGUAGUCCCUGUCUCUUAUAC
rnacentral:rRNA from 1 species